rnacentral:rRNA from 1 species
UACGUAGGGGGCAAGCGUUGUCCGGAAUCAUUGGGCGUAAAGCGCGUGUAGGCGGUCCGAUUAGUCUGCUGUGAAAGUCAGGGGCUCAACCCUUGAAUGCCGGUGGAUACUGUCGGGCUAGAGUGCGGAAGAGGCGAGUGGAAUUCCUGGUGUAGCGGUGAAAUGCGCAGAUAUCAGGAGGAACACCAAUUGCGAAGGCAGCUCGCUGGGACGUUACUGACGCUGAGAACGCGAAAGCGUGGGGAGCAAACAGG